GAUGAACGCUGACAGAAUGCUUAACACAUGCAAGUCAACUUGAAUUUGGGUUUUUAACUUAGGUUUAGGUGGCGGACGGGUGAGUAACGCGUAAAGAACUUGCCUCACAGCUAGGGACAACAUUUGGAAACGAAUGCUAAUACCUAAUAUUAUGAUAAUAGGGCAUCCUAUAAUUAUGAAAGCUAUAAGCGCUGUGAGAGAGCUUUGCGUCCCAUUAGCUAGUUGGAGAGGUAACGGCUCACCAAGGCGAUGAUGGGUAGCCGGCCUGAGAGGGUGAUCGGCCACAAGGGGACUGAGACACGGCCCUUACUCCUACGGGAGGCAGCAGUGGGGAAUAUUGGACAAUGGACCGAGAGUCUGAUCCAGCAAUUCUGUGUGCACGAUGAAGUUUUUCGGAAUGUAAAGUGCUUUCAGUUGGGAAGAAACAAAUGACGGUACCAACAGAAGAAGUGACGGCUAAAUACGUG
rnacentral:rRNA from 1 species